AGCGAACGCUGGCGGCAGGCUUAACACAUGCAAGUCGAGCGGGCGUAGCCAAGUACGUCAGCGGCAGACGGGUGAGUAACGCGUGGGAACAUACCUUUUGGUUCGGAACAACGACAGGGAAACUUGUGCUAAUACCGGAUAAGCCCUUACGGGGAAAGAUUUAUCGCCGAAAGAUUGGCCCGCGUCUGAUUAGGCUAGUUGGUGAGGUAAUGGCUCACCAAGGCGACGAUCAGUAGCUGGCUGAGAGGAUGAUCAGCCACAUUGGGACUGAGACACGGCCCAAACUCCUACGGGAGGCAGCAGUGGGGAAUAUUGGACAAGUGGGCGCAAGCCUGAAUCCAGCCAUGCCGCGUGAGUGAUGAAGGCCCUAGGGUUGUAAAGCUCUUUUGUGCGGGAAGAUAAUGACGGUACCGCAAGAAUAAG
rnacentral:rRNA from 1 species